GGACUGUCCAUGGGGGUUUACCCCCCAUGUUCAGGUUAAGGACUGGCCAUAUGGGUUUAGUGCCUUUGGUCAGGUUAAGGACUGUCCAUAGGGGUUUUGCGCUCCGAUUGGUCAGGGUAAGGACUGUCCAUACUGGGGUUUCGUGCUCCAGUUGGUCAGGUUAGGACUGUCCAAGUGAACCUUGGUCAGAUUAUCAGCAGCCAGUUCCGAAUCUGUGCAGCUAAUAGGGUGUGACAUAUGAGUAGGCAUGAUGCUUGUCAUAUACUGUAAAUGGACUCUUCACAACCCCGAACCCCUCUCCCACAAAAAUAAAUAAUCGUGUUUAAU